GCAUGCCACGGUCGACCAGGAGAGGCAGAAAUUUUUAUUUCUCUAAGGAAUAGUUCACCACCACAAAAUAUUGGGAGAUGAUUUAAGAGCAAUAAUUUAUUUAAAGACCAUCAAUACCUUUCCCCUUGUGGACUGCGUUAUACAAGGAAAAGAGCUUCUUGUAUUUGCAGCAAUGACAACUCGCUGCGCAUGGCAAGGUAACAAGGAUUCUUAGAUGCCAACUUUCCAACUUCCCAGUCAGUUGUUCAAGAGCUCAUUAGCAGAGGUCUCCAAAUAAACUAAUUUGAAAUAUGGAUUGAACAGAGGUGAGCCUAGCUAGGCUAACAACACAAGCCAUACUAACCCUGUGGGCCUCGGUUCCAGAUGGAAUGGCUGCAGCAAGAGCAAGCGACGAAAAUACAGAAGCACUGGAUGGCGAUCAGCAGGAGGAAAGGUUCCUCUUUGCCAUCCAGUCUUGAAAGCACAGAUGAACGAGUGUUUCUCUCUGAAAGAGGCUGAAGGCUGCAGAGCUCAUUGCUGUGUUCCUUCCUCUCUCCUUCCUUUCCCAAUCUUUCUCUUCUUUAGCAAUGAUGAUAGAAUUUCCUGGGCGAAAUAAUCCUUUCUUUUUAAACUGGAACUUUUUGGCAGAAUGUCACAAUGUUCUACUGUCCUCAGAGCUCAACAUACUGUGCCUUAGAAACUUUCCAGGGGAGAGACAAUAAGGCCACAGUCUGCACAGAGCCUUCUGUGUGGCUGUGACAGUGAGGACAAAAACAAUCAUGUUAAUGUUGUUGAUUAGCAUUGGGCUUUUUUUUUUCCUGCUGCUUCUUUGUCAUAGUUUUUCACUAUCCUAUCUACAUUUUUUUUUAAAGAUUUUAUUUAUUUAUUUGAUAGAGAGAGCUCA